rnacentral:rRNA from 1 species
GUGGCGGACGGGUGAGUAACGCGUGGGUAACCUGCCUUACACAGGGGGAUAACAGUUAGAAAUGACUGCUAAUACCGCAUAAAACAGCAGCACCGCAUGGUGCAACUGUCAAAGAUUUAUCGGUGUAAGAUGGACCCGCGUCUGAUUAGCCAGUUGGUGGGGUAACGGCCUACCAAAGCGACGAUCAGUAGCCGACCUGAGAGGGUGAUCGGCCACAUUGGGACUGAGACACGGCCCAAACUCCUACGGGAGGCAGCAGUGGGGAAUAUUGGACAAUGGGCGAAAGCCUGAUCCAGCGACGCCGCGUGAGCGAUGAAGUAUUUCGGUAUGUAAAGCUCUAUCAGCAGGGAAGAAAAUGACGGUACCUGACUAAGAAGCCCCGGCUAACUAC